rnacentral:rRNA from 1 species
UGUAGCAAUACAUAGGUGGCGACCGGCAAACGGGUGCGGAACACGUACGCAACCUUCCUUUAACUGGAGAAUAGCCCGGGGAAACCCGGAUUAAUACUCCGUAACAUUAUGAAGUGGCAUCACUUUAUAAUUAUAGCUCAGGCGGUUGAAGAUGGGCGUGCGUCUGAUUAGGUAGUUGGCGGGGUAACGGCCCACCAAGCCUACGAUCAGUAACUGGUGUGAGAGCACGACCAGUCACACGGGCACUGAGACACGGGCCCGACUCCUACGGGAGGCAGCAGUAAGGAAUAUUGGUCAAUGGACGCAAGUCUGAACCAGCCAUGCCGCGUGGAGGAUGAAGGUCCUCUGGAUUGUAAACUUCUUUUAUUUGGGAAGAAACCCCCGAUUUCUAUUGGGGUUGACGGUACCAGAUGAAUAAGCACCGGCUAACUCCGUGCCAGCAGCCGCGGUAAUACGGAGGGUGCAAGCGUUAUCCGGAUUCACUGGGUUUAAGGGGUGCGUAGGCGGGUUGGUAAGUCCGUGGUGAAAUCUCCAAGCUUAACUUGGAAACUGCCGUGGAUACUAUCAAUCUUGAAUAUCGUGGAGGUGAGCGGAAUAUGUCAUGUAGCGGUGAAAUGCUUAGAUAUGACAUAGAACACCCAUUGCGAAGGCAGCUCGCUACACGGUUAUUGACGCUGAGGCACGAAAGCGUGGGGAUCAAACAGGAUUAGAUACCCUGGUAGUCCACGCCCUAAACGAUGAUUACUCGACAUCAGCGAUACACUGUUGGUGUCUGAGCGAAAGCAUUAAGUAAUCCACCUGGGAAGUACGACCGCAAGGUUG